GAUGAACGCUGGCGGCGUGCCUAAUACAUGCAAGUCGAGCGAACGGACGAGAAGCUUGCUUCUCUGAUGUUAGCGGCGGACGGGUGAGUAACACGUGGAUAACCUACCUAUAAGACUGGGAUAACUUCGGGAAACCGGAGCUAAUACCGGAUGAUAUUUUGAACCGCAUGGUUCAAAAGUGAAAGACGGUCUUGCUGUCACGUAUAGAUGGAUCCGCGCUGCAUUAGCUAGUUGGUAAGGUAACGGCUUACCAAGGCAACGAUGCAUAGCCGACCUGAGAGGGGGAUCGGCCACACUGGAACUGAGACACGGUCCAGACUCCUACGGGAGGCAGCAGUAGGGAAUCUUCCGCAAUGGGCGAAAGCCUGACGGAGCAACGCCGCGUGAGUGAUGAAGGUCUUCGGAUCGUAAAACUCUGUUACUAGGGAAGAACAUAUGUGUAAGUAACUGUGCACAUCUUGACGGUACCUAAUCAGAAAGCCACGGCUAACUACGUG
rnacentral:rRNA from 1 species